rnacentral:rRNA from 1 species
CUAAUGGCUAAUACAUGCAGUCGAGCGCGGGAAGCGAACGGAACUCUUCGGAGGGAAGUUCGUGGAACGAGCGGCGGACGGGUGAGUAACACGUAGGCAACCUGCCUGUAAGACUGGGAUAACUCGCGGAAACGCGAGCUAAUACCGGAUAACACUUUCUAUCACCUGAUGGAAAGUUGAAAGGCGGCUUUUGCUGUCACUUACAGAUGGGCCUGCGGCGCAUUAGCUAGUUGGUGAGGUAACGGCUCACCAAGGCGACGAUGCGUAGCCGACCUGAGAGGGUGAUCGGCCACACUGGGACUGAGACACGGCCCAGACUCCUACGGGAGGCAGCAGUAGGGAAUCUUCCGCAAUGGACGAAAGUCUGACGGAGCAACGCCGCGUGAGUGAUGAAGGUUUUCGGAUCGUAAAACUCUGUUGUCAGGGAAGAACAAGUACGAUAGUAACUGAUCGUACCUUGACGGUACCUGACCAGAAAGCCACGGCUAACUACGUGCCAGCAGCCGCGGUAAUACGUAGGUGGCAAGCGUUGUCCGGAAUUAUUGGGCGUAAAGCGCUCGCAGGCGGUUCUUUAAGUCUGAUGUGAAAUCUUGCGGCUCAACCGCAAACGUGCAUUGGAAACUGGAGGACUUGAGUGCAGAAGAGGAGAGUGGAAUUCCACGUGUAGCGGUGAAAUGCGUAGAGAUGUGGAGGAACACCAGUGGCGAAGGCGACUCUCUGGUCUGUAACUGACGCUGAGGAGCGAAAGCGUGGGGAGCGAACAGGAUUAGAUACCCUGGUAGUCCACGCCGUAAACGAUGAGUGCUAGGUGUUAGGGGGUUUCCGCCCCUUAGUGCUGAAGUUAACGCAUUAAGCACUCCGCCUGGGGAGUACGGCCGCAAGGCUGAAACUCAAAAGAAUUGACGGGGACCCGCACAAGCGGUGGAGCAUGUGGUUUAAUUCGAAGCAACGCGAAGAACCUUACCAGGUCUUGACAUCCUUUGACCGCU